rnacentral:tRNA from 1 species
GCUCUCGUAGCUCAAUUGGAUAGAGCGCGUCCCUCCUAAGGACGAGGUUGCAGGUUCAAGUCCUGCCGAGGGCA